rnacentral:rRNA from 1 species
CCCUUAGAUGUUCUGGGCCGCACGCGCGCUACACUGAUACGUUCAACGAGUCCAAAACCUUGAUUGAUAGGUCUGGGUAAUCUUUUGAAGACGUAUCGUGCUAGGGAUAGAUUAUUGCAAUUAUUAAUCUUGAACGAGGAAUUCCUAGUAAACGCAAGUCAUCAGCUUGCAUUGAUUACGUCCCUGCCCUUUGUACACACCGCCCGUCGCUCCUACCGAUCGAAGAGUUAGGUGAAUUGUUUUGAUCGAUAAGAUUUGACUAUGGUCAACUCUCGUUGUGAAAUUCUGUGAAUCUGACUGUUUAGAGGAAGGAAAAGUCGUAACA